GGAGAGGUGUCCGAGUGGCCGAAGGAGCACGCUUGGAAAGCGUGUGUGUCGUCAAGGCACCGAGGGUUCGAAUCCCUCCCUCUCCGCCA
rnacentral:tRNA from 1 species